ACGAACGCUGGCGGCAUGCCUAACACAUGCAAGUCGAACGAGAUCUUCGGAUCUAGUGGCGCACGGGUGCGUAACGCGUGGGAAUCUGCCCUUGGGUUCGGAAUAACUCAGAGUAAUUUGAGCUAAUACCGGAUGAUGUCGAAAGACCAAAGAUUUAUCGCCCAGGGAUGAGCCCGCGUAGGAUUAGCUAGUUGGUGGGGUAAAGGCCUACCAAGGCGACGAUCCUUAGCUGGUCUGAGAGGAUGAUCAGCCACACUGGGACUGAGACACGGCCCAGACUCCUACGGGAGGCAGCAGUGGGGAAUAUUGGACAAUGGGCGAAAGCCUGAUCCAGCAAUGCCGCGUGAGUGAUGAAGGCCUUAGGGUUGUAAAGCUCUUUUACCCGGGAUGAUAAUGACAGUACCGGGAGAAUAAGCCCCGGCUAACUCCGUG
rnacentral:rRNA from 1 species